UGUGAGUGGAGUUCAGACUGGUGUGGUCUUCCCAGGGCGAGGCUUAUCCAUUGCACUCCGGAUGUGCUGACCCCUGCGAUUUCCCCAAAUGUGGGAAACUCGACUGCAUAAUUUGUGGUAGUGGGGGACUGCGUUCGUGCUUUCCCCUGGAAAAAA